ensembl:lncRNA
NNNNUUGUCUUGUGAACUCAGAAGUAGAGACUUUGUAUCUGGACAGACCAACUGCAAGCAGUAAAGUUCUUUUGAAGGUCAGUCGAGUGAUCUUGAGAAAUGGUGAGAAGGAACUUGACACAUAUGCCAUUCUGGAUGACGGUUCAGAGAGGACAAUGUUACUGUAUGAAGCAGCACAGCAACUUGAACUUCAAGGACUUCCUGAAGAUAUAGCCCUCCGUACUGUGAGACAAGACAUACGGAUCGUUCAUGGGGCGGCUGUUUCAUUCUCAGUAGCCUCUGUAUUUCAGCCAAACAAAUCCUUUACCAUUGAAAGAGCUUUCACAGCCAAAGAACUGAGCCUUGCAAAACAUACUUAUCCUGUUAAGUUGCUGCAAAAGAAAUACAGACAUCUACAAGGUCUGCCUAUUCCCCAGCUGCAGCAGGCUCAACCACUCUUACUCAUUGGCUCAGACUACCCGCAUUUAAUCACAGCCACAGAGCCAGUACGUCUUGGACCUCCUGGUGGUCCUGCCGCUGUGAAAACCAGACUUGGGUGGACUCUGCAGGGCCCCUCAAAAUUCCUUUCCAGUCAGCUCUCACCACAGCAGUGUCUAUUAACCUCCACUUUGUCACCAGAAGCCGAACUGUUCAACAAUGUACAGAAAUUGUGGCAAAUGGACACACUUCCGUACAGGAGUGAGAAAUUGAUCACAAGAUCAAGGCAAGACACAGAAGCAGUGCAAAUUCUUGAGGAGAAAACAAUCAGGGUGGCAGUCGGAGACAGUCAAAGGUAUGCAACACCCCUCCUCUGGAAAAGAAAUCUUCCACCUUUGCAAUCAACUAAAGAAGCAGUAACAGCUCAUUUAAGAAGCACAGAAAAACGCCUUUUGCAGAACACAGAUCUUGCAUCAGUGUACAUUAAUGAAGUGCAAAAACUUGAAAAUGCUGGUUACAUCUCGAAACUGACACCAGAGGAGGCAGAGAAAAGCCAUCAAACAUGGUACAUACCACAUCACAUUGUUCA